rnacentral:rRNA from 1 species
AUUGAACGCUGGCGGCAGGCCUAACACAUGCAAAUCGAAUGAGCGGCGGACGGGUGAGUAAUGUCUGGGAAACUGCCUGAUGGAGGGGGAUAACUACUGGAAACGGUAGCUAAUACCGCAUACCAUCGGAUGUGCCCAGAUGGGAUUAGCUAGUAGGUGGGGUAAAGGCUCACCUAGGCGACGAUCCCUAGCGGGUCUGAGAGGAUGACCAGCCACUCUGUGACUGAGACGCGGUCCAGACUCCUACGUGUGGCAGCAGUGGCGAAAAUUGCACACGGGGCGCAAUCCUGGUGCAGCCAUGCCGCGUGUAUGAAUGAGGCCUUCGGGUUGUAAAGUACUUUCAGCGGGAAGGCGUUGCCCGCAGAAGGAGAACCGGCGAACUCCGUGCCAGCAGCCGCGGUAAUAC